rnacentral:rRNA from 1 species
AUUGAACGCUGGCGGCAGGCCUAACACAUGCAAGUCGAGCGCGAAAGGCUUUCGGGCUGAGUAGAGCGGCGGACGGGUGAGUAACGCGUAGGAAUCUACCUGGUAGUGGGGGACAACUUGGGGAAACUCAAGCUAAUACCGCAUACGCCCUAUGGGGGAAAGCGGGGGACCUCCGGGCCUCGCGCUACCGGAUGAGCCUGCGUAGGAUUAGCUAGUUGGUAGGGUAAAGGCCUACCAAGGCGACGAUCCUUACAUGGUCUGAGAGGAUGAUCAGUCACACUGGAACUGAGACACGGUCCAGACUCCUACGGGAGGCAGCAGUGGGGAAUAUUGGACAACGGGCGCAAGCCUGAUCCAGCCAUGCCGCGUGUGUGAAGAAGGCCUUCGGGUUGUAAAGCACUUUCACUUGGGAAGAAAAGCUGGUCGUUAAUAGCGGCCAGCCGUGACAUUACCUUGAGAAGAAGCACCGGCUAACUCCGUGCCAGCAGCCGCCGUAAUAC